GAAGCCGUCAGGCUGAGCUGGGCGUCUGAGUCCCUCACGAGCCGAGGCCUGGGAGCUGGAGUGUGAUCCCCGGGACUGGACCACGCGGCGGAGGGCUCCAGCCUCACAGAGGGUGUAGCUGACUUUCUGACAAGCCACGGGCAAGAAGGCAGAGGAUAAUUAAUUACGACCACCGUGCAAGCCUCCAAAGAAAGGUAAGGCCCCUGUGGCUGCUCCAUCUGACGUAUCAGGAAACUGAGGCACAGAAUGAGGAGGGGCUCCGCCCUCAGGUCGACGUGCCCGCCAUCAGGACCGCACAAACACAGGAAAGCGCUUACAUCUCAGGUCUUCUCUUGAAGCUCAGCGGUGCCCCCACCACUUUCUCCGCGACCACAUGCCCACAUAGAAAUCAUUUUGGUUGUUUGGUGUUAAUCAAAAUUGACAGGCAUGCAAAUCACAGCCCAAGAUUCUAGUCCUUUGAAAUUGCUUUAUUAAUCACUGUAUUUGUGAAGGCUCAGAGAAAAAUCUCAGUGGUAAUAUUCUAAGAGCCUUUGACAAGCUCAGAGUUGUCCUGUAAUGAUACAGAAGACAGACAGUGGUCAAGUCACUCAGUGAUGGUUCUCUGAGAAUGACCGUUUGGGUUUUUUUCUUUCCACGCAGUUGCCAGGGUUUUUGUGUUCAGGCUGGUAGAUGUCACUCGGCUUUAUGAAAUGGGUGUGAUUCGGCACAGCUGUGGUUCUUUGUCCUGUGCAGAGAUUAUCUAAAAAUUCUAGAGCCAUGAUACAUCCCUGAGGCGUUCUCACUCGUAUAGUAUAACAGCUAGAAGGUGUUUUGGGGCUCAAAGUGCGGUGAAGGGGGGCCUGGCUCCGUCCCUCCCAAGUUUGCAGGCUGCUGUUUUUACAGAUGUUCUCCUCGGCUCCCACCUUAAUUUGAGUCAGGGGAGUUACUGGGAAAUGAAACUGUAUUUCCUCUGUGUCCUUCCUCCCUGCACAGUUGACUUCAGCUGGGAGCCCACAGGUGUCUACAGGCUGAUGCUUGAGUUGUUUACCAAUCUCAACCUGAAGGCGCGGUGGUUACCUGUUUUUCGCUGGCCCGAGAAAAGGGCUGCUCAUAAGUGAUGGGGGCGAUAAUCUGUGAAUCUGGUGCAUCUUACCUUUCCCUGGGCUUAAAGAGCGGUACCUCCUUCUUAAGGAAAGGCUGAACCAGGCUUGGGCUGUCCUUACGGAUCUGUGAUGUGUGUCCCAGAUUAAGAUAACUUGCCACAUGCCAUUCAAACUGAACUGGUCCUUUUCGUGUUCCAAAGAAAAAUCUUUAUUCUGGAGUUCCCUGUUUGGUUAGGGGGACUAAGGGUUGGUCGUUGUCAUUGCUGUGGCCCCAGAAACUUCUGCAUGCAGCAGGGGCGGACAACCCCCACCCCCUCCAAAGAAACAGACAGACAAAACCAUACGAUGCUGUCAACAACAAAACCAAGAUAGAACAUUUUUACUGUUUCGAGUAAAACUAAUAAUAAAGAUCAUAAAACAAAAACCUUCCAUGUAUAUUAUUAGGCUUCCCUCGGUUCCCCUACAUUGAACGAAAUGAGUACAGUUUCAACAAAUCGUAGCUUCUGAAGGAGUUUUGGGAUAUAUUUCAACCUUCAGGUUGGCGCAGAAAUCGUUCUCUUUAGACCAGUACCAUGACCAAGCAGCCUCUCUUUAAGAGGUUCUCCGUUUUAUUUCGGAACAGCUUUCAUAGCGGAUAAGCCACUGAAAAGACUUUUCUUUUGCUAGACUUAGCAGCAUUCCUUUCAGAUGUAUUCACAAGGCCAAGGAGGCUAAACUGCAAAACUCAGGGAUAGGCCAUCUCUGGGAACUAACAGCACAAGGGCCAAACACUGAUAGAUUUGAUCAAUCUCAUCAACUGUGCAAAGAGAGAGCUUGUCGAAGGAGCCUGGGCACAGCCCCAAACCGAUCCUUUCACAGGCUCAGUGAUCAUCUCAGGACAGUCGGGGAAUGUGGCAUUGCCGUCUGGCGCACACACAAUGACACGUAGCAUGUACCCGAAUUAAGUGAAUCGCUGGUGAAUGGGUCAAGUCUCCCCAGAGCAACCACGGAACUAUAAUGAAAGAAAGUGAUGACAGACAGGUUAUAACAUACAGCCAGCCAGUUUCUGAACACAGCAUUUGGGCUGACUAGCCUUGGACAUGGGAAGAAUUAUGUUGCUCAAUUUACAACUUAUUAAAGAGGGGAGAGAGGCCGUCGAUACAGCUGGCUGGUUCUCUAUCAAAGAAGACCAGGAGAGGUGAUAUUACAGAGCGUCUAUUGAGCAAACUGUCAGGCGGUACUUAACUCACUUUUUUCCAUACUUAAUCAUUAGACAAGGAUGAAUUUUCAAAAGGUUAAAAAAAAAAAAAAAAAA
ensembl:lncRNA